CAGGGAUGUGGGACUACACUAAACAGGGAUGUGGGACUACACUAAACAGGGAUGUGGGACUACACUAAACAGGGAUGUGGGACUACACUAAACAGGGAUGUGGGACUACACUAAACAGGGAUGUGGGACUACAAUAAACAGGGAUGUGGGACUACACUAAACAGCGAUGUGGGACUACACUAAACAGGGAUGUGGGGCUAAACAGAGAUGUGGGACAUACUAAACCGUGAUGUGACACUACACUAAACAGGGAUGUGGGGCUAAACAGAUGUGGGGCUACACUAAACAGGGAUGUGGGGCUACACUAAACAGGGAUGUGGGGCUACACUAAACAGGGAUGUGGAACUAAACAGGGAUGUGGGACUACACAGAGAUGUGGGACUACACAGAUAUGUGGGACUACACUAAACAGAUGUGGGGCUACACUAAACAGGGAUGUGGGGCUACACUAAACAGGGAUGUGGGGCUACACUAAACAGAGAUGUGGGGCUAAACAGGGAUGUGGGACUACACUAAACAGGGAUGUGGGACUACACUAAACAGGGAUGUGGGACUACACUAAACAGAGAUGUGGGACUACACUAAACAGGGAUGUGGGACUACACUAAACAGGGAUGUGGGACUACACUAAACAG
ensembl:lncRNA